rnacentral:antisense_RNA from 2 species
CUUCACCGAACCCAGCCACAGCGGGCGAUCCGCCGGACGGUCCUGGCCAUAGGUGGCAAGCAGGGCCUGUGCCUC